UACGUAGGGGGCGAGCGUUGUCCGGAUUUAUUGGGCGUAAAGAGCUCGUAGGCGGUUGGGCAAGUCACGUGUGAAAUCUCCACGCUCAACGUGGAGGCGCCACGUGAGACUGCCCUGACUGGAGUCCGGUAGGGGAGCGUGGAAUUCCCGGUGUAGCGGUGAAAUGCGCAGAGAUCGGGAGGAACACCGGUGGCGAAGGCGGUUCUCUGGGCCUGACCUGACGCUGAGGAGCGAAAGCGUGGGGAGCGAACAGG
rnacentral:rRNA from 1 species